UGUCACUGGUCAGACUGACCAUUAGUGACAUCACAUCCUGUCACUAGAAAGCAGUACAGAAUCAGUCACCAGCUCAAUAUCAGCAGUCUCUUUGUGAUAGCGACACGUAUCAGCAAACACCACACAUUUUCAAAGUCUGAAGGAUUAUUUCAUUUUUUGGUUCUUUUACUUUUGUUAAAAUAUCCUACAUACACAGCACCCUUUUCUUAAGUCCCUGGGGACCAAAGGCUGCAGCAGUCAGUGUUGUCUUCUCUACCCCAGCACACACACGGAGGGCUCAGUAUAAGGGUACUCUGCUGCAUGUUGCCAUGCUAAAUAAAUACAUUAGAACAGCUCAUAAAUGUCACUCCUUAUUUAAGUGUCCUUGCUUUGGCCUGAUAGGGCUCCCACAUAGGUCUCUGUCCCAAACUAAAGCACUACGUUUGAAUAGGGUUCUACUAGAGGUGUCCUCGAGCUGCUACAGGCCUGGAGAGAGAUGACUCCACUAGAGGUGUCCUCGAGCUGCUACAGGCCUGGAGAGAGAUGACUCCACUAGAGGUGUCCUCGAGCUGCUACAGGUCUGGAGAGAGAUGACUCCACUAGAGGUGUCCUCGAGCUGCUACAGGCCUGGAGAGAGAUGACUCUACUAGAGGUGUCCUCGAGCUGCUACAGGCCUGGAGAGAGAUGACUCCACUAGAGGUGUCCUCGAGCUGCUACAGGCCUGGAGAGAGAUGACUCCACUAGAGGUGUCCUCGAGCUGCUACAGGCCUGGAGAGAGAUGACUCCACUAGGUGUCCUCGAGCUGCUACAGGUCUGGAGAGAGAUGACUCUACUAGAGGUGUCCUCGAGCUGCUACAGGCCUGGAGAGAGAUGACUCUACUAGAGGUGUCCUCGAGCUGCUACAGGCCUGGAGAGAGAUGACUCUACUAGAGGUGUCCUCGAGCUGCUACAGGCCUGGAG